rnacentral:rRNA from 1 species
UACAGAGGUCUCAAGCGUUGUUCGGAUUCAUUGGGCGUAAAGGGUGCGUAGGCGGGCGCGGUAAGUCGGGUGUGAAAGUCUCGGAGCUUAACUCCGAAACUGCAUUCGAUACUGCCGUGCUUGAGGACUGGAGAGGAGACUGGAAUUACGGUGUAGCUGGUGAAAUGCGUAGAUAAUCGUAAGGAAGACCAGUGGCUGAAAGGGACGGCAUCCGUGGACCGACACUGACGCUGAGGAGCGAAAGCCAGGGGAGCAAACGG